rnacentral:rRNA from 1 species
AUGGAUUCAUAUGAUGAAUUGAUGACAUCUCAGUGUGCAUAUUCAGUGGCUCGAUGCUUUGAGCCUUUCCUGUCUGACAAAGGUCCCAAGUUAUAUCUAUUGCACACUUUUCAGCUGCUGGCAGAAUUUACUUUACUAACUUUCAGCGUUGCAACAGAGAUUCAAUCUAUGGUACAGGACACCAAGACAAAGUUUGAGAAGGAAAGGAUGAUCCAAUAUCUUCAGGGAAGAAGGAGAGGACUUCUAGUAUUUCUGAUCUUGAGAAAACAGUUUUCAGAGAAGCUAGCAGAUGCAGACGAAUCUCUGAAGAAGUUGAAGCAGGGUGACAAAUCCAUCAAUUGUUUUCACAAGUCGCUUCACAAGUCCUUUGCCUCAUUCCUGGGCCCCGACGAGGAGGAGGACUGA